UCAGGUAACACGUAAGUCAACAUGCCCAGGGGACGUGGAUAACCUCGGGAAAACUGAGGAUAAACCGCGAUAAGUCACUACUAUCUGGAAUGGGUAAUGACUCAAAUCUAUAUAGGCCCCUGGAUUGGACUGCGGCCGAUCAGGCUGUUAGGUGAGGUAAUAGGACCAACAAACCUGUAACCGGUACGGGCUCUGAGAGGAGGAGCCCGGAGAUGGGCACUGAGACAAGGGCCCAGGCCCUAUGGGGCGCAGCAGGCGCGAAACCUCUGCAAUAGGCGAAAGGCUUGACAGGGUUACUACUGAGUGAUUUCCGUUAAGGAGAUCUUUAGGAACCUCUAAAAAU
rnacentral:rRNA from 1 species